UUCUAUCCAGCUAACUUCAAUAGCUCUUACUACUUCAGAAGUCUAAACAGCAACCGUUUUUUUUCAAAAGGGUAAGCUUUAACUGCCAACUAAGCCACGCCCCCUUCUUCUCCAAGGAGAGGCUACGUUGCUAUGGCAACCUGCUGUACACUGCUUCCACAGGCUUCUAUAUGAGGCCUGCCUUCUGUAAGGGGCUUAUGUGGCAGAGGAUGGAAUCCCUCUUUGAAUCCCCUCAGCUUUGCCACCAAUAUGUACAGAGAUAUUCAAAAAAUACCUGCGUCCCGAUGACCAGAUGGACUUCAUCCUGACCGCCAUCAAGGGCCUGAGGGACGACUCCACCUACAGCACCA
rnacentral:lncRNA from 11 species